UCCAGGUCGGGAGCGCGCGCCGUGUGACAGCUCAGGGCUGUCCACGUCAACACAGAGUGAGCGCAGCGGCGGCGGCGGCGGCAGAGAUGGACUCCACGUCCCUGGAACCCUCUCUUUAUACAGUGAAAGCUGUUUUUAUUCUUGAUAAUGAUGGCAACAGACUUCUGUCCAAGUACUACGACCCCGAGCUUUACCCCACCAUGAAGGAGCAGAAGAACUUUGAGAAUAAUGUCUUCAGCAAAACACACAAAGCAGACAAUGAGAUAGCGUUCCUGGAGGGGAUGACCAUCGUGUAUAAGAGCAGUAUAGAUCUUUUUUUCUACGUGGUGGGAAGUGCUCAGGAAAAUGAGCUGAUGCUGAUGUCUGUGUUGAACUGUCUGUUUGACUCCGUCAGUCACAUCCUGAGAAAGAACGUGGAGCGGAGGUGUUUACUGGACAACAUGGAGGGAGUCUUCCUCGUCGUGGACGAGAUCAUUGAUGGGGGGGUGAUUUUGGAAAGUGAUUCCCAACAAGUCUUACAGAAGGUCAACUACAGGCUUAUGUCUGAACCAGCCUAUGGCUUCGUCCUGUUUGAUUACAUCACCGGUAACCUAGAGGCACAGACAGACAGGAGCCAGCUGCUGUAGACAGUCAGACAGACCCGGGGCUGAUGACAACCCAUUAACUGAACAAAGUGUGGCUCAGGUUUUGCAGUCAGCUAAGGAGCAGAUAAAAUGGUCCAUACUAAAAUGACCUUGGAAGAAAAAAAGACAAAAUGACUGAUCGGUAAAAAAAAAGUAAAUAUUUUCUGUCUCUAAGCUAUUUUUGUAGGUCCAUUUGGACAGGCCAUCAGCUGGCCUAUCAGGAGCCAGGAAAGCAUUUCUUCUGGUCUGUCUGUAUGAUGGCAGUUUGUUACUUUUUGUGUGAAGUGUAUUUAAUGCUUUACUUUAUUGUAUUCUGUUUACAUGUGAUGGUAGUAAUGUAGACAUGCGCAUGGUUUGUAGCAAGCCAAAUGGUGCUGUUGGUUAUAAAGGGACAACCAGGAACAGAACCACCGCCUGGCAGUUCAGCAUAAGGGUUCCAAACAGUAAAGACAAAAUAUUAAAUAGAAUUUUCAGUUACAAACUAAAGAAUAUUACAUAUGCAGUGAGGUUUUCUGUUUUGUUUGUUUUAUCCACUGUCACAUAAGCAUGUCCACUGUAAAUAGUUUUAGAGUCAGUAUAUUUGUCUUUCUAUGGAUAAUCGGAAAUACUGGGGAUUAAUAAACACAAUGGCAACACACACAUUCUGAAUUGUCCUUCAACGUUGUUUUGUUUGAACAUAUUUAAAACUAAAAUACUGAACUGUCCCAGAUGAGUUGGACUGUAGUGAACAUUGCUCCAGUAUCCUCUUUCAACAAGAGCGACUUUUCAUAAAAACACAAAACACAGUUUAUGAGCGAUUCUCUACUAUAACAUUUAAUAACUAAGUCUGCUGAUAGGUUGCUUAGGAGUCGACACGCACAGAUGCACUGAAUUAAAGAUGCAAAACUGAAA